GCGGCGGACGGGUUAGUAACGCGUGGGAACGUACCCUUCUCUAUGGAAUAGCCUCGGGAAACUGAGAGUAAUACCAUAUACGCCCCUUCGGGGGGAAAGAUUUAUCGGGGAAGGAUCGGCCCGCGUCUGAUUAGAUAGUUGGUGGGGUAAUGGCCUACCAAGUCUACGAUCAGUAGCUGGUUUUAGAGGAUGAUCAGCAACACUGGGACUGAGACACGGCCCAGACUCCUACGGGAGGCAGCAGUGGGGAAUCUUAGACAAUGGGCGCAAGCCUGAUCUAGCCAUGCCGCGUGAGUGAUGAAGGCCUUAGGGUCGUAAAGCUCUUUCGCCAGAGAUGAUAAUGACAGUAUCUGGUAAAGAAACCCCGGCUAACUCCGUGCCAGCAGCCGCGGUAAUACGGAGGGGGUUAGCGUUGUUCGGAAUUACUGGGCGUAAAGCGCACGUAGGCGGAUCAGAAAGUUGGGGGUGAAAUCCCGGGGCUCAACCCCGGAACGGCCUCCAAAACUCCUGGUCUUGAGUUCGAGAGAGGUGAGUGGAAUUCCGAGUGUAGAGGUGAAAUUCGUAGAUAUUCGGAGGAACACCAGUGGCGAAGGCGGCUCACUGGCUCGAUACUGACGCUGAGGUGCGAAAGUGUGGGGAGCAAACAGGAUUAGAUACCCUGGUAGUCCACACCGUAAACGAUGAAUGCCAGUCGUCGGGUAGUAUACUGCUCGGUGACACACCUAACGGAUUAAGCAUUCCGCCUGGGG
rnacentral:rRNA from 1 species